rnacentral:rRNA from 1 species
AACUGGGUCUAAUACCGGAUAGGAGCGCCUACCGCAUGGUGGGUGUUGGAAAGAUUUAUCGGUUUUGGAUGGACUCGCGGCCUAUCAGCUUGUUGGUGAGGUAAUGGCUCACCAAGGCGACGACGGGUAGCCGGCCUGAGAGGGUGACCGGCCACACUGGGACUGAGACACGGCCCAGACUCCUACGGGAGGCAGCAGUGGGGAAUAUUGCACAAUGGGCGCAAGCCUGAUGCAGCGACGCCGCGUGAGGGAUGACGGCCUUCGGGUUGUAAACCUCUUUCAGUAGGGAAGAAGCGAAAGUGACGGUACCUGCAGAAGAAGCACCGGCUAACUACGUGCCAGCAGCCGCGGUAAUACGUAGGGUGCGAGCGUUAUCCGGAAUUAUUGGGCGUAAAGAGCUCGUAGGCGGUUUGUCGCGUCUGUCGUGAAAGUCCGGGGCUUAACCCCGGAUCUGCGGUGGGUACGGGCAGACUAGAGUGCAGUAGGGGAGACUGGAAUUNCCUGGUGUAGCGGUGGAAUGCGCAGAUAUCAGGAGGAACACCGAUGGCGAAGGCAGGUCU